GACGAACCGUGCGAACGUUGUUCGGAUUCACUGGGCUUAAAGGGCGCGUAGGCGGACGGUCAAGUCAGGGGUGAAAUCUUUCAGCUCAACUGGAAAAGUGCCUCUGAUACUGAUCGUCUCGAGGGAGGUAGGGGCAUGUGGAACUUCCGGUGGAGCGGUGAAAUGCGUAGAUAUCGGAAGGAACGCCGCUGGCGAAAGCGACGUGCUGGGCCUCUACUGACGCUGAGACGCGAAAGCCAGGGGAGCGAACGGG
rnacentral:rRNA from 1 species